AACAGUUUGAGUUUUGUCCUAACUUUUUUUUCAGAUUCAGAUGGAUUAAAUGUGUGCCAGAGGGCCCCAUCCCGAGUGAGGGGUUUCCCCCGUGCAGGAAGUAAAUGUGGAUACCAGCAGUCAAGGCAAUCCACUCGGAGUAUGCCAAGCCCCCGUCACCAGCCAGCCGAUGCUCCGGGUUUCCUGCAAAUGUGAAGCCUGUGGAUGUAUUACAGGACUUGGUGAUGAAACCCUGAACUUUUCUAUUUAAAGGUGCCAUCCAGGUGGCCUCCGGCAGCUGCCCAGGAGUUGUGGCGUCCCCUGUGGCAACGGCCUCGGUCUCUGAGUGUGCCCGAAGCGUGCGGCCCAAGCAGCUGAGCGUUCUUAAGAGAAGGCUGUCUAAGAGACACCAGCCCGGUGCCAGCAGGACCUUCCCAGCUGACGAGGUGGCCUUUCUUUGCACCUGAGACCGGCAUCCCCAGAUGUCUGAGAGAGAAGUAGAGGGCCACGACCCCCAGGGGGGAUGAA